rnacentral:rRNA from 1 species
AACGGACGCUGGCGGCAUGCCUAACACAUGCAAGUCGAACGAGACCUUCGGGUCUAGUGGCGCACGGGUGCGUAACGCGUGGGAACCUGCCCUUAGGUUCGGAAUAACUCCCCGAAAGGGGUGCUAAUACCGGAUAAUGUCUUCGGACCAAAGAUUUAUCGCCUUUGGAUGGGCCCGCGUUGGAUUAGCUAGUUGGUAGGGUAAAAGCCUAUCAAGGCGACGAUCCAUAGCUGGUCUGAGAGGAUGAUCAGCCACACUGGGACUGAGACACGGCCCAGACUCCUACGGGAGGCAGCAGUGGGGAAUAUUGGACAAUGGGCGAAAGCCUGAUCCAGCAAUGCCGCGUGAGUGAUGAAGGCCUUAGGGUUGUAAAGCUCUUUUACCCGGGAUGAUAAUGACAGUACCGGGAGAAUAAGCUCCGGCUAACUCCGUG